rnacentral:rRNA from 1 species
GCACUUUAUUUGAUUUCCUUCGGGACUGAUUAUUUUGUGACUGAGUGGCGGACGGGUGAGUAACGCGUGGGUAACCUGCCUUGUACAGGGGGAUAACAGUUGGAAACGGCUGCUAAUACCGCAUAAGCGCACGGCAUCGCAUGAUGCAGUGUGAAAAACUCCGGUGGUAUAAGAUGGACCCGCGUUGGAUUAGCUAGUUGGUGAGGUAACGGCCCACCAAGGCGACGAUCCAUAGCCGACCUGAGAGGGUGACCGGCCACAUUGGGACUGAGACACGGCCCAAACUCCUACGGGAGGCAGCAGUGGGGAAUAUUGCACAAUGGGCGAAAGCCUGAUGCAGCGACGCCGCGUGAGCGAAGAAGUAUUUCGGUAUGUAAAGCUCUAUCAGCAGGGAAGAUAAUGACGGUACCUGACUAAGAAGCACCGGCUAAAUACGUGCCAGCAGCCGCGGUAAUACGUAUGGUGCAAGCGUUAUCCGGAUUUACUGGGUGUAAAGGGAGCGCAGGCGGUGCGGCAAGUCUGAUGUGAAAGCCCGGGGCUCAACCCCGGUACUGCAUUGGAAACUGUCGUACUAGAGUGUCGGAGGGGUAAGCGGAAUGCUUAGUGUAGCGGUGAAAUGCGUAGAUAUUAGGAGGAACACCAGUGGCGAAGGCGGCUUACUGGACGGUAACUGACG